GGGCAGUUAAAAAAGAGGUGAUC
rnacentral:siRNA from 1 species